UGACAAAACAAUAACAGUAAAGAAACCCUGACCAUAUUCUUAAUUUCCAACGCAUUUCAAUAAAAGGAACACGGUGAGGCUAGGAUUCCCUUUUUACCAUACGAUCAUAAGUAAAGAACAUGAGAAGUCAUGGCUGCAAUAAAAGGCAUUCUGUGCAAAACAAUUAUCUAAAGGGACCAGAACAAGAAAAAUCAGAAAAUAGAGGGACUAUAUACGCCAUCAAUUCUUUUUGCACAGAACACCUCAUUGCCUUGCCAAAUAACCAAUCAAUCUGUUCCUUAAAACAAUAUGUACGGAAUUUUCCAUCAAAAAUAUCAUCUUAGCCUCCAUGAACUACCUUUCAUUUUAUAGGAAAAAAAGAGAGGAAGAUCAUGACAAAACAUUAACAGUAAGAAAACUUGACCAUAUCCUUAAUUUCCAACGCAUUUCAAUAAAAGGAACACGGUGAGGCUAGGAUUCCCUUUUUACCACACGAUCAUAGGUAAAGAACAUGAGAAGUCAUGGCUGCAAUAAAAGGCAUUCUGUGCAAAACAAUUAUCUAAAGGGACCAGAACAAGAAAAAUC